rnacentral:lncRNA from 1 species
UGGGCUCUUCAAAUGCAUGCAUCCCUUGUGGAUGCUCAUCUUCAUAAUUAAUGGAAAUCAUUGGAGAGCAUAUUAUAUUUCCUCCCCAACUACUAGUUGUAGUACUGUAUGCAGAAGUAGUUGUACCAUUCACCAUGACCACUCCAUACAAAUUGGUAGUCUCCAUGAAUUCAUACGCUGUUUCGUCAAUCUGAUUAAUAGCCAAGUUGUUGAAAGCUUGAAAAUCAUUUGAAUAAUGGCUAUUCAUCAAUUGAAAACAAGUAUUAUUAUCAAUGAAUGCCAAACAACUAGCUGCCGGAAUAAUAUUCAUGGAAUUAUCAAUAUCAGUUUCAUAUACUAGUUGGUUCGGACUCGGAGGCUGUUUUGGAUUCGGAUUCACAACGAAUGAUGAUAUGGCCACAGCUGGAAGCUGAUCCGGCAGCCCGUUAUAGC